rnacentral:misc_RNA from 1 species
CUUUGGCACUUAAUAUAUCAUAAUUCAUAAACUUUAAUUGAUUAAAUAAUUAUAUCCUUAAUCAGACUUCCAUCCAAAAUUGUCAUCAACUAACUGAUGUAUAUGUUCAUCAAGUGUCGUGGGGUCCAUAUUUUAAGAAUAAGUUAAUGUGGCAUGAAAUCCAACCCCUUGGAACACAUAUGAUAUGGUUGUGGAAAUCUUGUGUGGCAAAUGGCUAAGGGUAAGCAAAGCAUAAAGCAUUAUUUAGUUUAAACCAAAAAAUCGAACUAAACUACACAUCAAAUCCUUGUUGCACCACUAUACAUAGACAUGGCUGUGGGACCGAUGGUUCCUAUUUAGGGAGGGGGAGCGACCAGGACCGGGACCGGACUGACCUGCUAGAUCUGGUUCCUCACAAUUUCUGUCCUGGCCAGCCCGGUUCCCGUUCUGGUUUGUGCAUGGUUUGGUCUGGUUUGAUUCAAUUUUACUCUAAUAGAAAGUCAAUUAAAAUGCGUAAUUUUAUAUGGAAAUAGGCCUUUAAUUGAGGUCUUUAAUUAAAGCCUUUAAUUUAAAUAAUUAAAAUGGAAAUUGACUAAUCUUAAAAGUGACAUUUGAAUUUGAAAAUAGAAAAUAGAAGAUUAAAAAUGGAAAUUGGUUGUGCAAUUGUAGGAAAGACAGUUUAAUUGUGCAAGUAAGUCAAUUAAAAUGUACAAUUUUAGGAAAGACAAUUAAGAUUUUAAUGGC